rnacentral:rRNA from 1 species
AGUGAACGCUGGCGGUAGGCCUAACACAUGCAAGUCGAACGGCAGCACAGUAAGAGCUUGCUCUUACGGGUGGCGAGUGGCGGACGGGUGAGGAAUACAUCGGAAUCUACUUUUUCGUGGGUGAUAACGUAGGGAAACUUACGCUAAUACCGCAUACGACCUACGGGUGAAAGCAGUGGAUCUUCGGACCUUGCGCGAUUGAAUUAGCCGAUGUCGGAUUAGCUAGUUGGCGGGGUAAAGGCCCACCAAGGCGACGAUACGUAGCUGGUCUGAGAUGAUGAUCAGCCACAAUGGAACUGAGACACGGUCCAGACUCCUACGGGAGGGAGCAGUGGGGAAUAUUGGACAAUGGGCGCAAGCCUGAUCCAGCCAUCCCGCGUGGGUGAAGAAGGCCUUCGGGUUGUAAAGCCCUUUUGUUGGGAAAGAAAAGCAGCAGGUUAAUACCACGCUGUUCUGACGGUACCCAAAGAAUAAGCACCGGCUAACUUCGUG